AAUAGAACAUGUUUAAUACCAUAGAACAUCUACAUAGGCUGUAAAUUUCGUUAAAUGAUAGAUGCAAAGAUGGAAGACAGAUGGGUAGAGGAAAAGACAGAAUCAGAUACUAGAUGAGUUAGUGCUGCAGGCCUGUGCUUCAGGGCUGUCUCAUUACCACCAGACAAGCAAGCAUCAAUGUCCCCACAUCCCCCAUUCCCUCCCCCUGGAACACACCGAUUUAUAUGAAAAUUAAGAUUACAAAUUAAAGCCUGGCUAUCCUGGAGUUUUCCAGUUCAUCAGCCAUCCAAUAAAAAUGAUGUCAAGCCUG